CAUUAUUGAAAUAAACCUGAUGAGUUGCUGCUGGUUCUCUAGGGAGCAUGUGCACACUUGUCAUCUUUAUAUCUCCACCUGUGAACCUUUUGUAGACCUGGAUAUCUCUCUGAAUUUGCCUGGCAGAUUCGGGUUUAAGGAUUGAUCUGUUCUUUCCUUGUGUUUUCAGGUCUAUGUUUUUUCAUAUACCCCAAUGUAUGUUUAUAGAAUGUAAUAAACAGGCCUCUGUGCCUAUAAACUUAUACAACUUUCAGCAACGGAUCUCUUGGCUCUCGCAUCGAUGAAGAACGCAGCGAAAUGCGAUAAGUAAUGUGAAUUGCAGAAUUCAGUGAAUCAUCGAAUCUUUGAACGCAUCUUGCGCUCCUUGGUAUUCCGAGGAGCAUGCCUGUUUGAGUGUCAUUAAUAUAUCAACCCUCUUUUGCUUUUUUUGCAUGUCGAGUGUUGGAUGUGGGGGUUUUUGCUGGACUCUCUCCUUGAGGUCAGCUCUCCUAAAAUACAUUAGCAAAACAAUUUGUUUACUGCUCAUUGGUGUGAUAAAUAUCUACGCUAUUGGCGGUAUAAAGCACAGUUUAGCUUCUAACAGUCCAUUGACUUGAACAAUCUUUUAUCAAUGUGACCUCAAAUCAGGUAGGAUUACCCGCUGAACUUAAGCAUAUCAAUA
rnacentral:rRNA from 1 species